rnacentral:rRNA from 1 species
AUGGACUCGUCGGCGUCGCGCUGGGCCGCGCCCGCCGUGUCGGCUGCCGGCGUGCUCGCCUCGGCGGUCAUCUUCCUGCUGUGCAUGACGUUCGCCCUCGCGCUCAUCUUCCUCCACCAUCGCUACUUCAGCACCGGCGUCGCGCUCAGCGGUCGUCGUCGUCGGGCGCGUGUGCGGAGCGCCCGGACGGCGGGUCCGCCUGCCAGGGGCGUCGACCCGGAGCUGCUGCGGUCGCUGCCGGUCACGGCGAGGUUCCUGCCCGGGUGCGGCCACGGGUUCCACGCCGGGUGCGUCGACAGGUGGCUGGCGGCCCACACCACCUGCCCGCUCUGCCGGGUCACUGUCGCCGGCAGGCCCGAGGCUUCGACGUCGACGAGUCUCCCUCACGUACCGUCGGAGCCGGCCAACUACGCAGCGAGCCUGCCGCUGCCGGCGAGUGUGCUGCUCGGGGUCUCAGACCAGGCCACGCUGGGCGCGGUGACCGUGGCCACUGACGGAGUGCUGGUGAUCGACGUUCCGGAGCCAAGGAUGGUGGCAGCGACGACCCCGCGCGACGCGUCCAAGUCUCCCGGCGUGGCCGGGCUGAGGUCGGUGAAGAGGCUGUGGAGCUUCGGGAGGCAAGGGCCGUCGGGGUCCACCACGCCCUGCGCCGGCGGCAGCGCAACGGCAGACGUAGAGCGGGGCAUUGGCAUCGCCUGCGCAACCCCGUAG